GGGAGGCAGGUAUGGAAGCAGAUAGGCUAUUGGAUUCGCAGUCUGGAGAGUCUCCCUACUUCUGUCAGCUGCUUUUUAUGUCACUCUGGCUGUUUCUUCACCUUCUGGGAGCUUCCUUGUUUUCACAAGAUGUACUGAAAACCAGCUUUAAGAAUCUGAAAUAGAAUGCCUUCUCAUGUGAAGGAUGGAUUUCUGGGCAAGAAAACAGCUGUCUAUGUCCAGUUUGCAGAAGGCUUCUCCAGAGCCGCUUUCUCGGCUAGUUGGAAUUGUUUCUUUAGUACAUUCAGAGCUCAUCACGAAAGGAUCACACAGAAUGAAUCCUGUGAGCAAAGGUAAUUGGCACUGUACCAGCUAAUGCUGCAGCCUUGUAUGUCAGGAAGAGCCUUUGUGGGAGCGUGUUUCAGUAGG
rnacentral:lncRNA from 1 species